rnacentral:lncRNA from 1 species
UGGAUGUAUGUCUUGUCAAAAGUAGAUGGAGUUGAGAUAGAUCAUUUACGGCAAAUGAGGAGGCAUGGCAAUUAAAGGACAGUUAAAGGGUAAUGAAAGCCCAAAGAUCUACAGAAUGGACAUGCUGCUAGAGGGAAAGAUGUCAAACUAGAAUGGGUGCUUGGUAUUAUGAUGCUAUCAACACUACGCCGGAAACGAUUUGUGCUGGUACGUCGAAAUUAGCAUGCUGGAGGGCGG